GCGGCGGCGUAGCUCAGUUGGAUAGAGCGCUGGUGCGGGUAGCGCGCCGGGUCAGGCAUUGGUUCAAAUCCAAUCCCGCCGCAGCA
rnacentral:tRNA from 2 species